UCGUGGGGCUUCGGCCCCGUCGAGAUAGCACCCUUGCCUUUAUGAGUACCUUGGUUCCCUCCCCCGUACCCUCGGGGAGCGGGAGGGACCUCGUCUGUUUCCCCAACGGUAGCCCCGCGGGGACACGAAACACGCUGUAAACACCUGUAACAGUCUGAUAAACAAACCAAAAAAAUCA
rnacentral:misc_RNA from 1 species